CCCUUAGAUGUUCUGGGCCGCACGCGCGCUACACUGACGAAUGCAACGAGCUUAUAACCUUGGCCGAAAGGUCUGGGUAAUCUCCAAAUUUCGUCGUGAUGGGGAUAGAUUAUUGCAAUUAUUAAUCUUCAACGAGGAAUGCCUAGUAAGCACAAGUCAUCAGCUUGCGUUGAUUACGUCCCUGCCCUUUGUACACACCGCCCGUCGCUCCUACCGAUUGAAUGGUCCGGUGAAGCGUUCGGACCGUGGCCUUUGGACGGUCCGCCGUCUGUUGGCUGCGGGAAGUUCGUUAAACCUUAUCAUUUAGAGGAAGGAGAAGUCGUANCA
rnacentral:rRNA from 1 species